rnacentral:rRNA from 1 species
UACGGAGGGGGCAAGCGUUAUUCGGAAUUAUUGGGCGUAAAGGGCGCGUAGGCGGCUGGACAAGUCAAAGGUGAAAUCCCUCGGCUCAACUGAGGAACUGCCUUUGAAACUGUCCGGCUUGAGGCCGGGAGGGGGUAGCGGAACUCCCAGUGUAGCGGUGAAAUGCGUAGAUAUUGGGAGGAACACCAGUGGCGAAGGCGGCUACCUGGACCGGUUCUGACGCUGAUGCGCGAAAGCGUGGGUAGCAAACAGG